ensembl:snRNA LOC120097211 U1 spliceosomal RNA
GUACUUUAUCUGACAGAGGAUUUUUACCAUGGUCAUGAAGAUGGUUCUCCCAGGGUAAGGCUUAUUCAUUUUGAUCUGGAUGUGCUGAGCCCUGCAGUUUCCCCAAAUGUGUGAAACUCAGCUUCAUAAUUUGUGGUAAUGCAUUGUC